UUGCAGUUCACGGCGAGCGGAGACACCUUUGGGCCACCCUUCAACGCUGUGUGGAGACUCACCAAACUCAGCCCUGCUGCGUCACCUUGGGGCUGGGGAAUUGCCCGAGGAGUGUUUCACAGAGCCCAGUUUGCAGCUCAGCUGUUGGUGAGAGAAGUGGCAAGGACCAGAGCCUGCUUCUGCUGCCCUGAGACUCUGUUUUCUUCUCUUCAGCCCAGUGGACACAGCGAGGGAGAACGCAGCCUGGGUGCUGCUUGUCUGCUGAGUGUGCUGCCUGCUUGGUUAGUGAUGCGGGGUAACAGGACUCCCGGUCGCCAGAGGUCACAUGUGCCCGGGGUGCGCCCAGAAUCCAACAAUGAGCUCUGAGGAACCGCGCAGAAUUCCCAACAAUUUGGGGAUUGUGGAAUCCCUAGCAGUUGUUAGGACUCAGCUGCCCUGGGCCAGGGAGGUCAGCUUCUUCCCCAUCUCCAUGGCGACGAUGGUGACCUGCAUGUGACCUACAAGCUUAAGAUUGGAACAGGAGGAAGAACAAGGCAGUGACAGGUUGAUCAUCCCUAACCUGAAGAUCCAGAAUCGGAAAUGCUCCAAAACCUGACACUUCCGAUACCACAAUCGGAAAGCUCUACCCCCUGGAAGUUUGCUGCAGGCACAAAAUUAUUGAAGAAUGUUGUAUAAAAUCACCCCAGGCUGUGUGUAAA